rnacentral:rRNA from 1 species
UUGGAGAGUUUGAUCCUGGCUCAGGACGAACGCUGGCGGCGUGCUUAACACAUGCAAGUCGAACGAAGAGCGAUGGAAGCUUGCUUCUAUCAAUCUUAGUGGCGAACGGGUGAGUAACGCGUAAUCAACCUGCCCUUCAGAGGGGGACAACAGUUGGAAACGACUGCUAAUACCGCAUACGAUCUAACCUCGGCAUCGAGGAUAGAUGAAAGGUGGCCUCUACAUGUAAGCUAUCACUGAAGGAGGGGAUUGCGUCUGAUUAGCUAGUUGGAGGGGUAACGGCCCACCAAGGCGAUGAUCAGUAGCCGGUCUGAGAGGAUGAACGGCCACAUUGGGACUGAGACACGGCCCAGACUCCUACGGGAGGCAGCAGUGGGGAAUCUUCCGCAAUGGACGAAAGUCUGACGGAGCAACGCCGCGUGAGUGAUGACGGCCUUCGGGUUGUAAAGCUCUGUUAAUCGGGACGAAAGGCCUUCUUGCGAAUAGU